rnacentral:rRNA from 1 species
GAUGAACGCUGGCGGCGUGCCUAAUACAUGCAAGUCGAGCGAACAGACGAGGAGCUUGCUCCUCUGAUGUUAGCGGCGGACGGGUGAGUAACACGUAGGUAGCCUACCUAUAAGACUGGGAUAACUUCGGGAAACCGGAGCUAAUACCGGAUAAUAUUUCGAACCGCAUGGUUCGAUAGUGAAAGAUGGCUUUGCUAUCACUUAUAGAUGGACCUGCGCCGUAUUAGCUAGUUGUUAAGGUAACGGCUUACCAAGGCAACGAUACGUAGCCGACCUGAGAGGGUGAUCGGCCCCACUGGAUCUUCCACACGGUCCAGCUUCCUACGGGAGGCAGCGGUACGGAAUCUUCCGCCAUGUGCGAAAGCCUGACGGAGCAACGCCGCCUGAGUGCUGAAGGGCUUCCGAUCCUAAAACUCUGUUAUUAGGGAAGUACAACCCUCUAAUUAACCUUGCACGUCUUGACGGCCCCUACCCAGAAACCCACGGCUCACUACGUG